rnacentral:tRNA from 1 species
GGGCCUGUAGCUCAGGGGUUAGAGCAGUCGGCUCAUAACCGAUUAGUCGUUGGUUCAAAUCCAACCAGGCCCACCA